GCAGCAGCCGCGGUAAUACAGAGGGUGCGAGCGUUAAUCGGAUUUACUGGGCGUAAAGCGUGCGUAGGCGGCUUUUUAAGUCGGAUGUGAAAUCCCUGAGCUUAACUUAGGAAUUGCAUUCGAUACUGGGAAGCUAGAGUAUGGGAGAGGAUGGUAGAAUUCCAGGUGUAGCGGUGAAAUGCGUAGAGAUCUGGAGGAAUACCGAUGGCGAAGGCAGCCAUCUGGCCUAAUACUGACGCUGAGGUACGAAAGCAUGGGGAGCAAACAGGAUUAGAUACCCGUGUAGUCCCUGUCUCUUAUAC
rnacentral:rRNA from 1 species